GAUGAAGAACGUAGCGAAAUGCGAUAAGUAAUGUGAAUUGCAGAAUCCAGUGAAUCAUCGAAUCUUUGAACGCACAUUGCGCCCGCCAGCAUUCUGGCGGGCAUGCCUGUUCGAGCGUCAUUUCAACCCUCGACCUCCCUUCGGGGAAGUCGGCGUUGGGGACCGGCAGCACACCGCCGGCCCUGAAAUGGAGUGGCGGCCCGUCCGCGGCGACCUCUGCGUAGUAAUCCAACUCGCACCGGAACCCCGACGCGGCCACGCCGUAAAACACCCAACUUCUGAACGUUGACCUCGAAUCAGGUAGGACUACCCGCUGAACUUAAGCAUAUCAAUAAGCGGAGGA
rnacentral:misc_RNA from 1 species